GGUUUAUUUCUCCGGCGAUAACCCUAGAGAUAGAUGGAUUUCACCAGCGUUUUCACAUCUCAGGGUGUGGGGUUGAAUUUUUUUCUCACAAUGAGGCAUUCAAAAGGAUGAGAUUCUGUCAGAGAUGUUAUAAAAUGUAACAUGAAAAACAAACUUAUGUCUAUGUAGGUGCUCAUUGAGAGUUUGAGACCACGAAUCCAUCUAUUGCUUAAUGAAUCAGGGAUAAUCUUGACAGGUCAUAAAGCUGGAGCUUCAUAUACGGGUCAAAUGUGCCUUGCCUGCAACUAUUUUUCUGAUUUUAUUUUCUUGUUGCAGGUGCCAAAAAGCUUCGAAGUGAAGAUGCUAGCCUUGAGGUUGUGGCAGCUGGUGUUGUUCCAAUUCUUGUUACUAGAGGCAUUGAGAAGACAAAUAAAGUGAGGCAUUGAGAAAACAAAUAAAGCUUUGGUGGCUGUGUUCAAGCCGAUCUCAAACUAGUUGAAUCGAAGGUUUCGUAGAUCUCGUUGGCCUUUUGUCAUUCGUCUCCCUUGGUGGUCAACAUUUGAAUGUUGGUGGCGCUUUUUUCUUUCUCUCAUAUUCAUCAACGAUUUCUCAGGUACAUGUGGGUUGAGCAAUUUACAAGUCUAAAACGGAAAAUCUUGGAUACGAUUCGAAAGGGGUCACAUGGAAUGUUUUGUGUUAAAACUAAUAUAAUUUGUUUUAUUUUAUAUCAUCAUUACUUAUAGCAAAAAAAAAAAAAAAACAAAAAA
rnacentral:lncRNA from 1 species